UUAUGAGAUAUGAUAUGCUAUGUUGUGCAUGCUAGAGUUGCCUAGGUAUUCAUAUUAGGACUAGAGUGGCCUGAUUUUGUGAUGCCUUAGCCUAGGAAGGGUUGUGCUGCUAUGUGAUGCUUGAGAGCGAGUAGGUAGCAGUGAGGGGCUGAUAAGAGGUCUACCGAAGGGUAGCCUAUGCCAGUGAGAUAUAGAGUACUUGUGAUCUGGGAUCCAAGGAGGAGGACUUAGGGUGAAUACUGAUGUGGUGUAGACGGUAGUAUAAGGGCCCGUACUACUGAAGACACCGAAGCAGUGCGUACUCUAAGUAAGAGUCCUUGGGGUACUAGGGAACAGGUAGGUCGAGAUAUCGAGUGUGAGCCUGCUCGAGCGAGUCACUGAUAUUAUUAUGUUGUAUUUCAGAGACAUCAUGGUUGGGACACGCCACAUACUUGAGGCGAGCGGUGUGAGUGACGAGGAGCUUCGUCAGAUGAUCCACGAUGAGGUGGCUGCGGUGAUCCGGGUCGAGAUUUUGGAUAUGUUUGGGUCUAUCAAGACCACAUUGAUUGAGACCUUUGACGAGCAUUAUGCAGCGGUGACUGAGACUGUGGGUGCUACAGCUACUACAGCUGUGGCUGCUGCCAGGCCUCAGGGAGGUGGCUCGUUGUUGUUUCGGAAGUUCAGCAACACGAAGCCACCUGAGUUUGAUGGGACGCAGGAUCUGAUCGUUGUAAUGAGAUGGAUUGCUGAUAUUGAGGGAUGAUUCUAUACCUGUUCAUGUCCGGAGCAUCUGAGGGUUCAAUUCGCGUUGAACCAGCUUCGCUUGGGAGCGAAGGAUUGGUAGAAGUUUGUGACGGCAAGCUUUACAGUUGCAUAGAUUUUAGAGGUGACUUGGGAGAGGUUCACCACCAUGUUCAGAGAUGAGUAUGUUCCCCCGGUGGAGAGGGAACGGUUGGUUCAGGAAUUCUUGACCCUCAAGCAGGGUACUGAUUCGGUCACUGUGAUUACGAGGAAGUUUCAUGAGAGGGCGAUGUUCUGCCCUAAGCAGGUGUCUACUGAGUAGGCACGUAUGAGUCGGUAUUUGGGCAUUCUGAGGAGAUACAUUCAGGAGUUCGUGUCGAACUCGACGUACCAGACAUUUGCUGAGCUCCAGGAAAAUGCCCGGAAGAAGGAGUUUGAGUUGGGGACUCAUGCCAGGGAGGAGGCCGAGUCUCAGAGGAUGGGUNGGCCAGAAGGUCCGCACUUGUAGGAAGUACGGCAAGGGACAUGAGGGGGCCUGUCGAUCGGGUGCUUGCUACAAAUGCGGCAAGGAGGGGCAUAUCGCCAAGGAUUGCCCCAAGGGAUUUAUGGUUUGCUUUCAUUGCAACCAUACGGGCCAUCGGAAGACCGAGUGUCCGCAUUUGCAUCAGGGGUCAGCACAGGGAUCUACGCCUGCUGCUAGGGUUACCGAGGUUCGGCCAGUGAAGGCCGAGGCACCGAAGGCUCGUGGGAGAGCUUUCCAGUUGACAGCGGAGGAGGUCCGUGCAGUGCCCGAUGUUGUGGUUGGUAUGUAUUAUUUAUUUAUUUUUUUUUGAGUUGAGAUAUUGUGCUUAUAUGAUGAUAUGCAUAGGUACUUUUCUUGUGAAUUCUAUACCUGCUUUGGUGUUAUUUGACUCGGCUGUGAGUCGGUCAUUUGUUUCCUUGGCAUUUAGUCAGCACAUUAGUAUCCGACGAGAGGCGUAAAGUUGACCUCUGUGAGUUUCUAUAGCUGUCGAGAGAGCGAUGUAUGCUAUGGAUAUGAGUCGAGGAUGUAUUCUUGAGAUCUUCGAUGUGGAGUUCCCAAUAGAUCUUGUCCCGAUUACGAUGGGGGACAUAUGUGCUAUAGUGUGCAUGGAUUCGUUGAGCCGAUUUGGAGCUAAUAUAGACUGCGAGCGUCAGUUGGUGACGAUACGAGACCCUAGUGGGGGAGUACUUACGGUGUACGACGAGGGAACCUGAUAUGUGUCAGCGUUUUGUUCGGCUGCCAGGGCGAGACAGCGUUUACAGCAGGGCUACAGCGGGUUCGUAACAUAUGUGAUGGACACGCGAGUGGCUGCUGGGAGGCCAAGUUCGAUAGAUGAGGUUCUGAUAGUGUAUGAGUUCCCGAAUUUUUUUCCCGAGGAAUUGUCGGGUGUGCCUCCUGAGAGGCAAGUGGAGUUCCAUAUCGAUUUGGUUUCGGGAGCAGCACCUAUCGCCAAGGCGCCUUAUCGCCUCGCACCACCAGAGAUGCAGGAGUUAUCCUCGUAGCUUCAGGAGCUGCUGGGGAAGGGGUUUAUUCGACCGANGGAGUUAUCAUCGUAGCUUCAGGAGCUGCUGGGGAAGGGGUUUAUUCGACCGAGUAGCUUGCCUUGGGGAGUGCCGGUCCUUUUUGUCAAGAAAAAGGAUGGUUCACACCAGAUGUGCAUUGAUUACCGGGAGUUGAACAAGUUGACGGUCAAGAACCGUUAUCCGUUACGAAGAAUCAAUGAUAUGUUCGAUCAGUUGCAGGGGGCUUCUUGGUUCUCCAAGAUAGACUUGAGGUCGGGUUAUCAUCAGAUGAGGGUUCGGGAUGAAGAUAUCGGAGAUGCUUUAUUCCAAAUUCUCCAAGUGUGAGUUCUGGUUACGAGAGGUCCAGUUCUUGGGGCAUCUCGUCAACUAGAAGGGGAUUUUGGUCGAUCCGGGCAAGAUUGAGGCGGUCAUGAGGUGGGAGGUGCCGAGAUCGCCCACCGAUAUCAGGAGCUUUCUAGGAUUGGCUGGCUAUUAUCAGAGAUUUAUCAGGGAUUUCUCCAAGAUCGUCGUGCCACUCACCAGGUUGACCCGGAAGGGUGUUACUUUUUCAUGGGGUCCGGAGCAGCAGACCUCGUUUGAGACACUUCGCCAGAGAUUGUGCGAAGCCCCGGUGCUAGCACUCCCGGAAGGGAUGGAGGAUUUUGUGGUGUAUUGUGAUGCAUCGAUAUCGGGGAUGGGUGCAGUAUUGAUGCAAAGGGGGCAUUUGAUAGCAUAUGCACCAAGGAAGUUGAAGCCUCAUGAGAUGAGGUAUCCCACCCACGAUCUGGAGUUAGGGGCAGUGGUGUUCGCCCUCAAGAUCUGGCGUCACUAUCUGUAUGGGGUUCGGUGUACCAUAUACAUGGACCACAAGAGAUUGAAGUACUUGAUGGAUCAGCCCAACCUGAAUAUGCGCCAGAGGAGAUGGUUGGAUGUGGUAAAGGAUUAUGAGUGCGAGAUCCUGUACCACCCGGGCAAGGCUAAUGUUGUAGCAGAUGCCCUGAGCCGUAGGACGGAGAGCGCCCUGCUAUGUGAGGUUUGCAUGAGAUUGACAGUGAUGACUCCGGUGUUGGACACCAUUCGAGGGGCCCAGGCCGAGGCCGUGAGACCAGAGAACCACAAAAGGGAGCGGGUGAUCGGGCAAGUAUCAGAGUUCGUUAUCGAUAGUCGAGGACUUAUGACCUUUCAGGGUCUGGUUUGGGUACCGUUUGUGGGUGGAAUGCGUACCAUCAUGAUGGAUGAGGCGCAUAGAUCGAGGUUCUCGAUCCACCCCGGGGCCACUAAGAUGUAUUUGGACCUGAAAAGAGAGUAUUGGUGGCCCUGUAUGAAGAGGAAUGUCACAUGGUUCUUAGAGAGGUGCUUGAUUUGUCGCAAGGUUAAGGCCGAGCACCAACAUCCGCAUGGUACGUUGCAGCCAUUGGAGAUUCUCGAGUGGAAGUGGGAAUAGAUUACCAUGGAUUUUAUCACCAAAUUGUCGAGAACUACUAGGGGUUUUGAUGCAAUUUCGGUGAUUGUGGACAGGUUGACGAAGAGCGCUCACUUUCUUGCUAUUAGUGAGAGCUCUUCUGCUAAGAGAUUGGCAGAGUUGUACGUGAGGGAGGUGGUAUCGCGGCAUGGAGUACCAAUCUCGAUCGUCUCAGAUCGAGAUGUGCGUUUCACUUCCAGAUUCUGGAAGAAAUUUUAUGAGGAAUUGGGUACGAGACUACAUUUUCGUACCAUAUACCACCCACAGAUUGACGGGCAGAGCGAGCGGACAAUCUAGACGCUCGAGGACAUGCUUCGGGCAUGUUUGUUGGACUUCGGAGGGAGUUGGUGAUGGGUUUUGAGCAUUCUAACACUUCCUAAGUGUACAUGCAACCCUAAUAAACCUUGGAUCUAUGUUUGUCUAAGAUACAUGCAAAUAAUUAUUUUUUCCAAGGUUCAUAUCCUAACUAGCAUGGCAUGGGGAACAUGAUCAAAUAAAGCUAGUACAAAUACUUACCUUGUAGUUGUAGUUGAUUGUUUGGAGUUUUAGAGCCUAGCACUAAUACUGUGGAUGCCUCAAAUGGAAAUCACAAAUCACCACAAACUUGGAACUUUGAGAGAAUAGUCACUACUAUCUUGAAAUCGGCCCUCACCUCAACAAGUGUCAACUAGUAUGAUUUCAAGAACCAAAGCCUUCUUUAUAUAGUGUGGUGGAUUAGGGUUACAUCCAUGUAAACCCUAAUACCCAUGUCUCUUCAUUUCCAUGAGAUCCAUGGGUUAAAGCUCCAUGGAGUAUCCAUGGACUUUUCCAUGCAAGCCUAGCCCAUUCCAAAUAAGCAUUAGCCCACACUAUAUAAAUAUAGAAGCCCAUAUUUAAUUAGUAAUAUCUUUGAUCUCUAAAUUAAUCCUAGAUUAAUUAUAGAUCAAUACUAAUUAAAUAAUAUGAUCUUAUAUUAAUAUAUUAGAACUUAUAAUAUAUUAAUAAAUCAUAACUUGUACUAUUCUCAAAAGAUUAUCCAUAAAUUGUUCGGGUGAAGUGCAACCCAAAUGGACCAUGCCGGGUCGGGUCAAGUACAUACCAAAUAUAGUUAUGGACUUAGACACUAUAUCCAACAGUCUCCCACUUGGAUAAGUCUAAUAACUAUAGUUGCAAGUAUGACUUCAGGAACCGAUCAGCAAUCGUAGCUCUUUAAACUCUGUUGAACUAGAACGCGCCAUUUUAGAUAAGUGAUCAUAUAAUCCUCUGUUCUAGAUAUCAGCCAGACAAAUACAUGGAACAUGGUCUUACUUAUUGCCCAGCAUUUGUUUCCCGAUUUCCGAUUUGUUUGACAUAGAACUUAACUGAACACAUCAAUUUAGUUCUGACCGGGCCCGGUACAUAGGUCAAAACAAAAUCAUCGAGGGGCCCAGAUAUCAGCUUCUAAUCCAAGAAGGAACAGAUAAACUUCGACUCAUAUGUUUGUUCUACCACUCAUUGAAUUACACACAAAAGCACGUUUUAUAACAUCGAGUUACCAAUGCGUUUUCGUACAAUCAAUGCAUAACCAACUCGUAAGUAACAAAUCAUAUCUCUAGGUUUGAAGACUUAUAUGAUAUUACCGUCUCACGAUCACUCGAGAUAAAAUUCCAUGAAGUGAUUCCAGUGAGCGUGGGUUGAGUCCAAUGCUCAGAACUUAUGAGCACUCAUGAUUGUUGUAGCCUUGUCCAACACCUUAGACCUCUACAACCCAUCAUGACAGUCUUGAUUCAUACCUACUUCCGACAUAUGACCGACUGUGGAGGUUUGAAUAAUAUGUUAUACCAAACAAAAUUAUUCUGGAAGUCAAAACAUGCAAAAGAAAUAUAGUAAACGAUCGACAAGAGAUAGCAACACUUUACUCAUAAAUAAAACACCUUUUAUUCAUCAUCUAAUGUCAAUUACACUUUACAAAUUUCAUAAUUUAUCUAACUACUAAAACUUAUAUCAUCCUUCAGCCCUAUGCUCCGAGCAUGCUGGAGAUGCUUAACCCUACUCAGUCCCUUCGUGAGGGGAUCUGCUGGGUUCUCAUCCGAUGAUACCCUCUUUGCCACGAGGAGUCCUUCUUCGAUCCGAUGUCUGAUGAAAUGGUAUUUUCUGUCGAUGUGUCUGGAUCUCCCAUGAUCCCUUGGUUCCUUGGCUAAGGCAACAGCACUUUCACUAUCACAGAAAAUUUCCAUUGGCUCUUUAAUAGCUGGUACAACUCCAAGGUCUCCAAUGAAGUUCUUCAGCCAUAUCGCCUCCUUUGCUGCUUCACUAGCUGCAAUAUACUCUGAUUCACAAGUAGAAUCUGCCACUGUCUCUUGCUUGGAACUCUUCCAAGAAAUUGCUCCUCCGUUUAGGGUAAAGACCCAGCCCGACUGAGAGCGGAAAUUAUCCCUAUCAGUCUGGAAGCUAGCAUCACUAUACCCUACAACUCUCAAGUCAUCACUCCCACCGAGGGUAAGGACCCAGUCCUUAGUCCUCCGUAGGUACUUGAGGAUAUUCUUUACCGCAGUCCAGUGUGCCUUGCCAGGGUUCGCCUGAUACCUGCUAACCAUGCUCAAGGCAAAAGCUACAUCGGGUCGAGUACACGUCAUAGCAUACAUGAUCGAUCCUACAGCCGAAGCAUAAGGUGUUCGACUCAUUUCUGCUAUCUCAGCCUCAGUGCUAGGGCUUUGUGUCUUACUCAAUCUGGUGUUACUCUGGAUGGGUAACUCUCCUUUCUUGGAAUCCUGCAUGCUGAAUCUCUUCAGCACCUUAUCCAAGUAGGUACUCUGACUAAGUCCAAUUAGUCUUUUACUCCGAUCUCUCAAGAUCCUUAUCCCUAAAAUAUAGGCAGCUUCACCAAGGUCCUUCAUAGCGAAACACUUCCCAAGCCAGGACUUUACUUCCUGCAGGGUUGGAAUGUCGUUUCCUAUGAGUAGUAUGUCAUCCACAUACAAUACCAAAAAGCUAACUAUACUCCCACUAGCCUUGACAUACACACAAGAUUCAUCUUCACUCCUAGAAAAGCCAAAUUCCUUGACCUUUUCAUCAAAGCAAAGAUUCCAUCUGCGAGGUGCUUGCUUCAAUCCAUAAAUGGAUUUCUCAAGCUUACACACUCUAUUAGGGUACUCGUUGCUGACAAAACCCUCUGGCUGACUCAUGUAAACAUCUUCAGCCAACUUUCCAUUAAGGAAAGCGGUUUUGACAUCCAUCUGCCAUAUUUCAUAGUCAUGAAAUGCAGCUAUGGCUAACAGAACCCGAAUAGACUUAAUCUUGGCUACCGGAGAAAAGGUCUCAUCAUAAUCCACUCCAGGAAUUUGAGAGAAGCCCUUUGCAACCAGUCUAGCCUUAUAAGUGUGUACUUUACCAUCCAUGUCGGUCUUCUUCUUGAAGACCCAUUUGCACCCUACUGUCUUACGACCUGGUACAUUUUCAACCAAGUUCCAAACUUGAUUGUCAUACAUGGAUUGUAUCUCGCUAUCCAUAGCCUCUUUCCAUUUAGCAGACUCGGGGCCUGCCAUGGCUUCCUCGUAGCUGUUAGGGUCAUCUUGACUUACUAGUGUCUCAUCACUAAUAAGUGUCUCACCUUCUGCAGUAAUAUGGAAUCCAUAGUAAUGCUCAGGUGCACUCCUAACUCUCGUGGAACGUCUCAGAGGUACAGAUUUGUCAAUUGGCUCAACAGGAGUUUCCUCCUCAAGUUGAGGGCUAGAGUUUGAAGUUCCUUCACCGCUUGAUUCUUGAAUUUCUUCAAGAUCAAUUUGCCUCCCACUGUCUCCUUGGCUUAUAAACUCUCUUUCUCGAAAGACUCCUCUUCUUGCUACAAAGACCACAUUGUCACUAGGUCUGUAGAAGAGGUAACCAAAGGAUCGCUGUGGGUAACCGAUGAAAAUACACCUCUCGCUUCGAGGUUCGAGCUUAUCAUGAGUCUCGCGUCUCACGAAAGCCUCGCAACCCCAAAUCUUGAUGUGGUCUAGUUUAGGUACUUUACCAGUCCACAUCUCGUGAGGAGUUUUGGCAACUUUCUUUGUAGGGACUAGAUUAAGAAUAUGGGCGGCAGUCUCUAAGGCAUACCCCCAGAAUGAGAUUGGUAGCGUAGCUCGACUCAUCAUGGAACGAACCAUAUCUAACAAGGUUCGAUUACGCCUCUCAGCCACACCAUUCAACUGUGGUGUCCUGGGAGGUGUCAAUUGUGAGACUAUCCCACAUUCCCUUAGAUAGUCGAGGAACUCUGAACUAAGAUACUCACCACCACGAUCGGAUCGAAGCAUCUUAAUGUUCCUGCCCAAUUGAUUCUCGACUUCCUGUUUAAAUUCCUUAAACCUCUCGAAAGUCUCUGACUUAUGCUUGAUCAAGUAGACAUAUCCAUAUCUACUAUAAUCAUCAGUAAAAGUCAAAUAAUAACGAUUAGCAUCCCUUGUGGCAUGUUUGAAUGGUCCACACACAUCCGUGUGUAUAAGGUCCAACAAACCUUCACCCCUCUCACACGAACCUGUGAAGGGUGACUUUGUCAUUUUUCCAAGUAAGCAUGAUUCGCAACUAUCAUCUGACUUUAGGUCAAACGACUCCAAGACUCCAUCCUUUUGGAGUUGGCCUAUGCGUUUCUUGCUUAUAUGUCCAAGACGACAAUGCCAUAAAGAUGCUUUAUCCAAGUUAUUAUUAGUAGAAUCAAUACACAAAACAUUAUUUCCCAAGUUAUCUACAACAGAUACAGCUUCAUACACACCAUCACAAGGUAAUGCUUUAAAAUAAAAGACAUUAUUAUAGAAAACAUCUAUAGAACCAACUUCAUUAUUAAAUGAAAAGGUAAACCCUUGUUUGUACAAAGCAUGAAAGGAAAUAAUAUUUCUUGCCAUUCCUGGCGAAUAACAACACUUAUUCAAAUCUAAACUAAACCCACUACUUAGCGAUAAAGUAUAAACUCCAAUCUUGGUAACAGGUAUAGCUUUCCUAUUCCCCAUGAUCAAGUUUAUCCUUCCUUGCUCCACAUCCUCACUUCUUCUUAGUCCCUGCAAGUCACAACAAAUGUGAAUACCACACCCGGUAUCAAGGACCCAAGAAUUAGAAUGGGGUGAGUUAUUAGAAAUGAUAGUGUAAAUACCUGCAUGGUUGGGUUUAACUUUCCCAUCCUUCACAUCUUGCUGGUAUUUUGGGCAGUUCCGCUUCCAAUGAGCUUUUUCAUGGCAAUAGAAGCAUUCAGCCUCUUUUGGGUCAGAAGAAGGAGUAACGAAACCUUUCUUGGUUCCACUUGAAGAAGAGCCAUCAAGGGUCCGAGCCUUGGUACCCUUAGAAGAGCUCUUUCUCUUCCUCCCUCGACUUUUCCCGAUUGCCAAAACCGGAGUAGAGUUUUGAGUAGGAGUGAUAGCAACCGACUUCCCCUUAAGACCUGUUUCUGCGGUCUUGAGAAGUCCCUGAAGUUUGCUGAGGGUGACUUCUUCCUUGUUCAUGUGAUAUGUCAUGCGGAAUUGAUCAUAGCACGAUGGUAAGGAAUGCAAAAUAAUAUCUAUUGCAAGAUCCUCCGGGAAGUUCACAUUAAGCUUCAGCAAACGAUCCACAUACCUUUGCAUUUUCUGCAUGUGGCUCGUGACGGAUUCCCCGUCCUUCAUCAUGGUUGUUAUCAUGGAGCAGAUGAUUUCAUACCUCUCUUGUCUUGCACUUUGAUGGUAUCUUUCCAUCAAAUCUUGGUGCAUGUCAUAAGGGUAGAAAUCCUCAUAAGACUUUUGGAGUUCCGCUGUCAUCGUGGCCAUCAUGAUGCAAGCCACUUUCGUAGCAUCCCUUUCAUGUGCCCGAAAUUCAGCGAUCUCCUGAGGAGUUGCAGUGGACUCAUCAAUCUCCUUAAGCUCCUUGUCAAGGACAUAUUCUUUGUCCUCGUAGCGGGUAAUCAUCCUGAUGUUUCUGAUCCACUCAUUGAAGUUGGAUCCAUCAAAGGUGACUUUCCCACACAAGUUCAUAAGGGUAAAGGAGCCAUUAGGAUUAGAGCCAGAAGCAUUGUUGAAAGACAUCUGAAGGAAAGAGGACAAGAUUAGUUUAGAUAUAAGAGAGUCCUUAAUAAAACACCCAAAUGUAAUAUUAAGGCUAGGAUCCAAUCACAAUAUAAUAUAACUUAGAAGAGGUAUGCCGUAAUCUAAGCUAUAUCAUAUUUGAAAGGUAGGUGAAUGACGAUUCACCAAUUUCCACCACGAAAACCGCAAUAUUUUAGUAUUAGGUUUUUGAAUGGUUCUUAGAAAUUCCUAGAUUCUUUGAGAUUCAAUGAACUUUUCAAAGGCAUGUUUCAAUCUCGAGUGUGCCCUCCAAGUUUUGUGACUGGGAUACCGAGGAUCACAAAACGAGGUGUGAAGUAACCAUGCAAAUCACUUGGUACCCUUAAAGUUUAUCACUCAAUCGAUGUGCCGGUUAACCACACACGCUCCAUCGAUACUAUAAUAAACCCUAAGUCACCCUUUACCUACCUUGUUAAGUCCAAGUUAGUGUGCCGGUUAACCACACACGCUCCACCAACGACUUAAUCAAAGUGUAAAGUGUAAUUUCAUGGAAUAGCACCUUAUUCACAUUUUUCCUAAAGUAACUAAGAUUGGGAAUUUAAUAAAACAUUUAGUUACUUUAUAAUAUUCAUCAUACUUUGAAUGAGAAUUAAUAAGUCCUUGUCUUACCCGUUCGGCUAACGACCCUCCACCGAUCAAGCAAGCGGUGGGUGAGAGUGGACACCCAUUAAGUCACCAUUUUAUAGGCAACAACCUUAUACCCACCUUAUAGACCGGCUUCGUGAAUGAGGCGUACUAGCGGUAAGACGACUUUGUUCUUAUACAUAUAUAUAUAAUUAUUAAAUCAUAAUAAUAUAAGUAUAAGGGUUGAAUUUUAACUUUUAAAAUUCUAGGGGUUGGAACUAAAGUUUUAACUUAACUUUACUUGUUCCAAAACUUGAGGGCAAGUUUUGUAAACUUUCAAAACUUUUCAUUUCUUGUAACUUAUGAGUUUAAUAGAGUAAUAAAAUGAGGACUUUUCAUUUUUCCUAACUCUUGUGUUCUUUUAAUGGUUUUUAAUCCAAGAGACUUUUGGUUUUCCAUAACUUGAGGACAAGUUAUGGACUCCAUUAAAACACAUUAUGAUCAUGAAUUAAUCUACCACAUAGGUUACAAAUAAUUCCUAUGAUCAUCUAAACAUCAUAAGAACAAGAAUAUGAAUAUGAACACUUUCAAGAAUCAAAAUCACAUUUAAUCUUUGUAAUUUUGAUAACUAGUUGUUGUAAAUGAGUUAGAAAAGACAUUACACCUUCUAAAAUAAGUUUUCAAGUACCAAAACAUUUUAGGGUAAUGAUUCUAAUCCAUUUCCAGCAACUCAAGUCGAAAUUCUGCACUCUGUCGACCCUACUCGCCGAGUGCAUAAACCUACUCGCCGAGUAGGUUGAAGAUACACAUGAACUCGACGAGUCCUCCCCAUGGACUCGCCGAGUCCAUCAGUCAGACAGCAGAAUUUUCGACUUUCUUCAACUUUUAAGCACAAAUAACAAACAAACAAGCCUAGGCUCUGAUACCACUGAUGGGUUUUGAGCAUUCUAACACUUCCUAAGUGUACAUGCAACCCUAAUAAACCUUGGAUCUAUGUUUGUCUAAGAUACAUGCAAAUAAUUAUUUUUCCAAGGUUCAUAUCCUAACUAGCAUGGCAUGGGGAACUUGAAUCAAAUAAAGCUAGUAGAAAUACUUACCUUGAAGUUGUAGUUGAUUGCUUGGAGUUUUAGAGCCUAGCACCAAUAGUGUGGAUGCCUCAAAUGGAAAUCACAAAUCACCACAAACUUGGAACUUUGAGAGAAUAGUCACUACUAUCUUGAAAUCGGCCCUCACCUCAACAAGUGUCAACUAGUGUGAUUUCAAGAACCAAAGCCUCCUUUAUAUAGUGUGAUGGAUUAGGGUUACAUCCAUGUAAACCCUAAUACCCAUGUCUCUUCAUUUCCAUGAGAUCCAUGGGUCAAAGCUCCAUGGAGUAUCCAUGGACUUUUCCAUGCAAGCCUAGCCCAUUCCAAAUAAGCACUAGCCCACACUAUAUAAAUAUAGAAGCCCAUAUUUAAUUAGUAAUAUCUUUGAUCUCUAAAUUAAUUAGAUUAAUUAUAGAUCACUACUAAUUAAAUAAUAUGAUCUUAUAUUAAUAUAUUAGAGCUUAUAAUAUAUUAAUAAAUCAUAACUUUUACUAUUCUCAAAUAUUAUCCAUAAAUUGUUCGGGUGAUGUGCAACCCAAAUGGACCAUGCCGGGUCGGGUCAAGUACAUACCAAAUAUAGUUAUGGACUUAGACACUAUAUCCAACAAGUACGUGAUCAGUAUGUUUAUGACAUAUUAUUAGGUGAUAGUGGUAGGGGUGAAAUAGUCCCCGGUUACCGGUUGAAAGAUACCGAUGGCAGUUACCGGUUGAGAGAUACCGAUGGUGUUAUGUGGUAUGUAGUAUGAUGGGGGAACUCACUAAGCUUCGUGCUUAUGGUUUACAUUUUUUGUUUUAGGUACUUUGUUUCAAAGAAAAGGAGCCGACUUAGUCGCAGCGCAUCUCACUAUGUUUUCCGCACACGAGAUCCUUAGGAUUAUACUCUGAUAUGGUUUCAUAAUGUUAUAUUUUGAUUAUUCACACUUUGGUUUUAUGUAAUAACUUAAUAAAAAAUGAAAUUUUUGACCUGUAUUUUUGCGAUGUUACAAGUUGGUAUCAGAGCCUUGGUUUGAGGGAUUCAGACAUACUCUUGGGUGUGUCUGAACUCAAACUAAGGGCUUGGUAUGAAAAUUUUCAAAAGUUGAACCAUUUUAUAAAAAGGAGUUUGAAAAGAAUUUGAAAAGAGAAAAGAACUUUUAGAAGAACAAAGUGUGUGAUGCGUGCAAUCAGCCGAGCUCAAGUAAGUUUUCCCCAAGAUACCCAUACAUGUUAUGUUAUGAUCUGAUAUGAUUAUGAGAACUGCAUGCUAAGAUUAGGGCUAACAAUCUAGGGAGGAUGCCUUACAUGCCUGCUGUAUGUGCUUGUUGAGUUGCAUGAUAGUACUAAUCAAUUAUUGAUAGGAUAGCCUGUUUAGGUUAUGCCUGAUUGCGUGAGCCUUGGAAUUGCAUGCUAGUAUAGAUCCCUGACAAUAGGAUAGAUUGAUUUGAUUGGAAUAUGUUGGUUGGAUUUUUCCAUUGUCUGAAUGCUGCUUGCUUUGUGAUUUUUGGAACUCUUAAGUGAUGGGAGUCAGCUACUAAGUGGAUGUAACGACAUCUAGGAGGUAGAUGACUAGCAUCGUGGAGAGUUCUUCAGCAGCUGAUGGCAGGACGAGAUCGAGAACCUAGGUAAGCCUAGGAUAUGUUUCAGUGGGUUAUUAGGGAGGCUCAGUGAGACUUGGGUGAAGCAGUUGAGGAAGUGACUUGGAGGAUCGACGAGGAUUGCUGAGGAAAGUAUGGAUAGGUGUGGAAGAUAGUAUUGUGCCCGUACUACUGAAAGCACAGGAUCCGUACUCGAAUCGGUGAGAGUCUUGGAGAAUUUGAGAAGCUUUGGGGAGAAGUUUAUGACCCGGUUGGGGACAGAGGGUGUUCCAGUGUUGCAGCAUAGCCAUUGGCAAGCGAGCCAGUAAGCGUGACAGGGUGUCAAACCCUGGAGGAUAUGAUUUCCAGAAGUUGCAUAUGCGGGAUCGAUUUGAAGCACCCUGGAAAGAGGGGUUCAUGCCAGGUGCGUCUAGUAAAGGGGUCUCGGGAAGAGACCCAUGACUUCUGAUCAUCGGGGGAAGGGCCAGCAGGGCCGGAGUCAGUGCAGUGCGUACGAGAAAGUGCACUAGCGAGUUGUCACUCCAAGGGUUUAGGCUGCUACAGGUGUGGCAGGGUUGAUCAUGAUAGUUGAAGGUGAUCCGUAUUCUUCUAGAUGAAGCGGGUAUGUCGUCUUCUAUUGUUGCUAGAUGGACAUUGGGGAUAUGUAUCGCUUUGGAAUUGUGAGUGAGUGUGUAUAAGUCAGACCUCGGGUCGGAUUUUCUGCUAGUGUUUGGGUUACCAAGGAUCAUAUAUGCCAUCAUGCAUGACGAAAGGUCCUUGAUGAACCCACAGAAGGAUGCAUCUUGCAGAGUGGGAUCCGCGCGCACCGUUAUCAUUUCGGAUCUUUGUUGGGAUCUAUGCAGGAGUAUUAUUUAGAGGAUACUCGGUCAGGGUUGGAGUGAUAGUUCUCCAGUCAGGUCAACGUUCAGGGAUUCUAUCAUUUGUUCAGGUAUGGUCGGUAAUUGUCUAUGGAUGAACUUUAGAGUUCAAGGCACUACCGUUUUUAGGACAUAGUUGGUGACAUGAAGAGGGUAGUGUCAGUCGUGGGUGUUAGAUGCAUAAGUGGUUGGUCACUGGAUGUUCAAGAGGAUUGUGUUUUUGAUGGGUUUUAACUAUAAGAACAUCCUAUGUGUUCAUACAAACCCUAAUGCUUGGAUGUAGUUUUCUCUAUUGUACAUGUAAGUUAUCCAAGACUAUAAACCCUAGAUCUAGUAUAUGAUAAUCAAUAUAACAUAUAAAUUAGGGUUUAGAUCAUACCUUGAUUGUUAUGUAGCAAUAACAAUCUCAAAUCCUCCUUGUAGUGACUUUAGAAAGCUUAGAGUCACAAAUGUCACUCCUCUAAUGGUUCACAAACACCAAGAGCAAGAGGAUGAAGAAGAGAAGAGAAGGAGGCUGCCCAAAAUGUGUGGAAACCCUAAUUAACUAGUUCACCACGUUUUUGAGCCAUAAGGGUCCUUUAAAUAGUGAAACUAUUACGGUUACAAAACAAGGAAACCCUAAUUUGGAUGCUUAGGCCCUAAGCAACCCAUGGACUCCUUCCUUAAAGGCCUAGGACGAUUUCCUAUGGGUUUUCCAUAGAAUUCGUCCAUCCCUUUAAUAUGGAGUCCAUUAGCUCAAUAUUCAACUAUCAUACAAUUGACAGUUCUAGUCCCUUAAGUUUAAUUAAUGUCUUUUAGCCACAAAAUUAAUGCUUAAUUAAUUAUUGACUAAUAUUAAUUAAACAAUAUGAUUUCUCCUUUAAUAUAUUAUUCUCAUAAUAUAUUAAUAAAUCAUAAUUAAUCCUUUCUCUCCAUAAUUCAUCCUAUCAAGUUGCUUUGGUGAAGGCAACCCAAAAGGACCAUGCACCAUCGGGUCAAGUACAUACCAAAAUAGUUAUGGACUUAGACACUAAUCCAACAGUCUCCCACUUGGAUAAGUCUAAUAACUAUUAUGCGUAUGACUUCAGAUCCUGAUCUGCAAUCGUAGCUUUCUAAAGCCACUGUCAACUCUGAUCUUAUCAGAUACGCGUGUCCUUUAGAUAAGGGAUCAUAUAUUCCUCCAUUCUAGAUAUCAUAUAAGAUAUGAUUUCAAAUCAUUCUCUUUGUACUAUAUCUCGAUUCCCGAUUUAUGACGACUGACUAAUUGAACAAAUCAAAUUAGCCCUAGCCCGGCCGAGCAUUUACGUUUGUCAUCACUAAAUCAUCGAGGGGCCCAAAGAUAUCGCUUUUAUCCUACUUUGGAUAAAAGGAACGGAUAAACUUUGAUACAAUGCUCGCUUGCACUCACUCACCGAAUCACACACAACAAUAUGUUUUAUAACACCAAGUUACUAGUGCGUUUACAUAUUAUCAAUGUGCAACCGAUUUGCAAGAUACAACUCACACAUCUCGGUUUCAAGAAUAUAAGAUGUUAUCGUCUCACCAAUCACUCGUGAUACAAUUCAUGGAGUGAUCCAAGUGAGCGUGGGUUUAAUCCAAUGCUCAAAUCAUAUUCAUAAGCACUCAUGAACGUUGUAGCAAACAUUUUCUUAUGUCUAAUACACUUUAGACAAUCCACACACCAAUUCACGACAGUCUUCAUUCAUACCUACUUCCAACAUAUGAACGCUUGUGGCCCAUUCAAAUAAUUUGAUUGUGCUUAAACCAAUUAAAUUAUUUAGGAAGUCAAAAAUGCAAANNNNNNNNNNNNNNNNNNNNNNNNNNNNNNNNNNNNNNNNNNNNNNNNNNNNNNNNNNNNNNNNNNNNNNNNNNNNNNNNNNNNNNNNNNNNNNNNNNNNNNNNNNNNNNNNNNNNNNNNNNNNNNNNNNNNNNNNNNNNNNNNNNNNNNNNNNNNNNNNNNNNNNNNNNNNNNNNNNNNNNNNNNNNNNNNNNNNNNNNNNNNNNNNNNNNNNNNNNNNNNNNNNNNNNNNNNNNNNNNNNNNNNNNNNNNNNNNNNNNNNNNNNNNNNNNNNNNNNNNNNNNNNNNNNNNNNNNNNNNNNNNNNNNNNNNNNNNNNNNNNNNNNNNNNNNNNNNNNNNNNNNNNNNNNNNNNNNNNNNNNNNNNNNNNNNNNNNNNNNNNNNNNNNNNNNNNNNNNNNNNNNNNNNNNNNNNNNNNNNNNNNNNNNNNNNNNNNNNNNNNNNNNNNNNNNNNNNNNNNNNNNNNNNNNNNNNNNNNNNNNNNNNNNNNNNNNNNNNNNNNNNNNNNNNNNNNNNNNNNNNNNNNNNNNNNNNNNNNNNNNNNNNNNNNNNNNNNNNNNNNNNNNNNNNNNNNNNNNNNNNNNNNNNNNNNNNNNNNNNNNNNNNNNNNNNNNNNNNNNNNNNNNNNNNNNNNNNNNNNNNNNNNNNNNNNNNNNNNNNNNNNNNNNNNNNUGAACAUCCUUUUGCAUAAAAUUUCUAAUCUAGACAUUGAUUCUCAAUAUCCAACUCCCAAUAUGGAAACAUUUCCAUAUUUUCCAUAUGAAAACUCAUUCUUAAUAGAAUCUUUUCUAUUCAUAAUAAUGUCGAUAUGGUCCAUCCAAUACUAUACUUCCAACUAUUCACAAGCGACCAAUCCUCGGUGAACUUUGGAUUGUCCUUUGAUAGUUGUUUAACUAUCUUAGUCAAAACCGAUUCUUGUCCUUUUCCCUCUAAAUGCGCUAGACAUUUGGAAAAUUUUUGAAUGGUCAAAUAUUAUAGUAUUUGAAAUCGAUCGUAUAUCCGAAGCGUAUAGGACACGAUGCACAAUGUCCUACAUAAAGAUUUGAUACUUUAUCAAUCUUCUGCCUUAAUAUUUUAUGUGCUAUGUUCUUACAAUUCGAACUUUGAAGUGGAAUGUCGUAAUCAUAAUCGAAAUUUAAGAACACACUAUGUAUCCUUGACUAAAUUUAUUAACAUUCCACAACCUCAGCCUUUAGAUUUGAAAUGAAGCAUAAUAUUCUCUCCCUUAAUUAUAGCAAAACAACUAUUCCAUAUUUACAACUUUGCAAAGUAUGACUCUUGUUUUCUAUAAUUAAUAUUGCUAACUUGCAAUACUUGCCUUAAUAAUCAUACAAUCAUAACAUUUAUGCUCCCACUAUCAUGAUGAUUAUUAUAAACAUAACACUUAUGCUCCCACUAGCUUAGACAUGUAUUCAGAAACAGCUUAACUUUCAGAAAAACAAUGCUUAUUGAAUUUCUUUAAGUUCAUAUUUCUAAUACCCAAUGCUUUGAUAAUAUUUUAUCAAGGCUUCUUGAACUUAUACACAUUUGUCUUAGAUAGCUCAUAUGUGUGUCUACAAAAUUCAGACUAAUUGCCAAAUCUCACAAUUCGAAUCAUGGAAAGGGACACCGUAACCAUAAUCGAAUUUGAGAAUCCAAUUUUUACAAUCACUAUCUUCUUAAAAUCACUCUUAGUGAAAGCAUUUCCUCAUAGUCAUUUCCAUGAAGGAGGGAAUCUUAUGACACUUAGAUUUUAAUGGUGUAUGUGUUCCUAUCCAUGUGAAUUUGUCAAAACCAAAGUUUAUGACAAAUUCAAACUUAUAUGGACCGAACUUUCUUAAUCUUGAUUUCUUGCCUUAUGGUAACACAGCUGCCCACCAUGUCUUCCAAGUAGUUAAGCAGCUCACCCUUUCUUAUUAAUGUAAUUUUCAUUGAUCAAGGUCCUUGCCUUUUAUGCAUUCAAAUGAGAACUCAUAGGGCUCACAUGCAUUAUUAACUUAAUUGGGACGACACAGAAACAAGACAAUGUCAACACGAUAGGUUGUAAACCUCAACUCGUGUGCUAGUGAUGAUCGAUAAGGUUUAUUCUUGAUCAGUUCUUGAAACUUUUCGAGAUCAUUAAGACUCCCACUGAUUCCUUGACAUAUAAGAUUCUUUUGUCAAUAAACAUUUCUUGACAAACAAAUAUUCAAGAGUUAGUGUAGCCUUUACUAAGACAAAACACUUCACAAAAUUGGUCCUAGUUGGUCUUUGUCUUAUCCAAGACAUCACAACUUACCAAUUUCAAAUGUGCAAGAAUAAUGAAAACCUUUUCUAAAUUCUACAUUUGAUGAAUGUUAUAAACCUUAUUUAGACUUGUCACUCAAUGUCAUAAUCUUAACUUUAUGAUUUGUUUUGGAGUGAAGUAUGAUUGACUUCUUGAUUUAACCAUUUCUUCAAUUCUUGAUUCCUUGUCUCAGACAUACAAUUGUACUAAGACUUACUUAGAGAAUCAAUCGAGAUAUGGUUCUUAAUCAUUAAGACAUAUCAUAGAGCAUAAAAGUACUCUCCCUUCUUCUUAGAAUAGAGAAACAUUUAUCUUUCUGCCUACUUGAUUCUUCUUAUUCGUUCUGCUAUUGAUUUAAACUUUUUCAAUCAAUUCAGAAUUACACUUAAUCUUGUAAGUAUAAUCACAUUUACUAAUAUUUUAGUAAAUCAUGACGAAUAUCUUUGUUACUCUUGUGGUGGACACACAACUUUGUGUACUCGAUCUCUUAGUCUUUCACUUGACACUUUGUCAAUGAAUUAGUCUAAUUUACAAAUAUGAAAUUUCUCAUUCAUCGUGCAACCAAGUUGCAUGAAUCCAAGUUUUUGUCCAAUUGAAACUUGGGUGAUGAGAAACUCUCCCUAUUUGAUAAAUUCUCAACAUUUCCACAAACAACAUAAUUAAGAAUCACAUCCACUCGUUGUAGAAAUAUGCGAACAUCAAUUUUUUCAUAACGAUUUCAUUGCAAGGAAAUUAAUAAAUAAAUAAAUAAAUGAGUCAAACCAAAAUUUAUUUUAUUCAUAAAAGCAGCGGAAAACAUUUGCCCUUACAAUGCAAAAUCAACUGAAAAACUAUGUAGUCAAAUAUUCCUAACAACUCUAUCAUAACUUUCUAAGCUUAAAUCUAAUCUUCAAGUCCAAGCGAUCGAGAUCCAUUUCUUUGUGAUUAGACUCAUCUUGCUCUUUCAUCAAGCUUCCCCUCUUUUCACUAAUCCUGCAAAACAUUCAAAUGCAAUCUUAUCACAUUAUGUAUUAAGAAUCAACGAAUAGGAACUUAACGGAGUUAGAUAGUGGAUUUUAUCUGAAGCACAUCCAUACUCUUUGACUCUCCCAUCUUCUGGACUCUUCAGGCCCUAGUGGAUUUUAUCAACCUAUCGAUGUGUGAUUUCAUUCCUAGAACGUGGGCACACACGGGUUUACCAUCUUGAUGUUUCAUUUCCAAUAGGGCUUUAGUGACAUUGAACCUUUCAAUUCUUCGAUCUUGUGGGUUAGGGAGAAUAAUUGGAGGAGGUGGAGGAAGUGAAGCAUGAUUUCUUGUUCGUCGAUCGAAUCGUGGAAUAUCAUCUUCAUGUGGAAAACUUGUUCCACAGGAUUUGGGAAGACUAUAACAGUCGUACUUUGACAUCUAAAAAACGGGAGAAAAAUAAAUUCAAGUUAGUUGAUUGAUUGAGUCCUUAGUAAAUCAUCCAAAUGAUAUAAUAAGGCUAGGACCCAACACCAUAUUCCACAACUCGGGAGAGGGAUGCCGUAACCUAAAUUGCAGAACAUUUGAAGGUAAGUGAAUGACUAUUCACUAAUUUCCACCAUGAAAAACGAAAAACCGAUUUAAGUUUUAAAUGCUUUGAAAACUCCUAGAUCCUAUGAGAUUCAUUGAACUUUUCAAUGGCAUGUUUAAAUCUCGAUAUGCCCCUCUAGUUUGUGACUGGGAUGCCGAGGAUCACAAAGCGGGUGUGAAUAACCAUGCAAAGUUACAUGGUGCCCCCACAUGUUACAGUCAUCUAUUCGAUGUGCCGGUAAACCACACAUGCUCCACCGAACUAUGACAAACAUUGAGUCACCCUUUUCUACCUUUGCUUAGAACCAUUUAGUGUGCUGGUAAACCACACGCGCUCCACUAACGUCUUUNUUCAUUAUACUUAUAAUGGAGGGUUCUGUCCUAUCCUACCCGUUCGGCUAACGACCCUCUACUAGUCAAGAGUGCGGUGGGUAAGAGUGGAUACCCAUUCAAUCGCCAUUUUAUAGGCAAUUUCCUUAAACACCCCUUAUAGACCAGCUUCGUGAAUGAGGCCUACUAACGGUAAGACUGACUUUUACUCAUACAUAUAUAUAAUGUUAGACUUUUAAUGUUAUAUAUAGUAUAAGGUGUAUUUUACACUUUUAAAAUACUAGGUGGUCAAAUUCAAUAAUUAUACUUUUAAUUCAAUUAUAUUGUAAACCAAAACUUUAUGGAUUUAUUAAGCCUCUUUUAAUUAUACACCUUAAUUAAUUAAUAAAACCAUAAGGGUUUGAUUUGAACUUUUCAAAACAAUACUAGGGUUUUAGAAUUUAACAUUCCUAAAUUAAACUUUUAAUCGACUUUUAAAUUCCAAAACUUGAGGGCAUGUUUUGAAACAUUUCAAAAAAUUAGGGUUUAGAAUUUAAAUAUACAUCAAAAUUAAACUUUUAAUCAAAUUUUAAAUUCCAAAACUUGAGGGCAAGUUUUGAAACCUUUUCAAAACAUUAGAGUUUAACUAUUUAAAUUUCAAAAACAAAACUUUUAAGUUCAAAUUUAAAUUAUAAAACCUAAGGGGGAAAAUGAAACUUUUCAUAAUACAAGGAUCAAAUAACAAAUAAUAUAAAUUAAACAAUUAAUCUUAUCAUUAUCUAUAUUUGACCUAAUUUCAGUUUCUUGCAAAAUAAGUUACCCAAUUAAUACCCAUAAUCAAACUUUCUCAUAUAAGGAAGUUAUUAUUUAAUCAAUUGGUAAUUAUCUUUUGUUUAAUCAAGGAUAUACUCAUAAAUAUGUAUAAAAUUGGAUUUUAAUUACCUAAAACAGAUAAGGUAAGUACCAUGAGCAAAACAACAAGAAAUCCCGAAAAUAGCUCCAUCUGAUGCCCGAAAUCGCCGAGUACCACACUGGACUCGCCGAGUUGAGGCCUACUCGUCGAGUACACUGUGGUACUCGCCGAGUUCAUCAGGCAGGUGAGCUAAAUAUCGAUUUUGCAACUUGAACAAACAUACAAGGCAUUAAUACAAUAGAAACCAAUCAAGGCUCUGAUACCGCUGAUGGGUUUUAACUCUAAGAACAUCCUAUGUGCUCAUACAAACCCUAAUGCUUGGAUCUAGGUUUCUCUAUUGUACAUGCAAGUUAUCCAAGACUAUAAACCCUAGAUCUAGUAUAUGAUAAUCAAUAUAGCAUAUAAAUUAGGGUUUAGAUCAUACCUUGAUUGUUAUGUAGCAAUAACAAUCUCAAAUCCUCCUUGUAAUGACUUUAGAAAGCUUAGAGUCACAAAUGUCACUCCUCUAAUGGUUCAGAAACACCAAGAGCAAGAGUAUGAAGAAGAGAAGAGAAGGAGGCUGCCCAAAAUGUGUGGAAACCCUAAUUAACUAGUUCACCACGUUUUUGAGCCAUAACGGUCCUUUAAAUAGUGAAACUAUUACGGUUACAAAACAAGGAAACCCUAAUUUGGAUGCUUAGGCCCUAAGCAACCCAUGGACUCCUUCCUUAAAGGCCUAGGACGAUUUCCUAUGGGUUUUCCAUAGAAUUCGUCCGCCCCUUUAAUAUGGAGUCCAUUAGCUCAAUAUUCAACUAUCAUAUAAUUGACAGUUCUAGUCCCUUAAGUUUAAGUAAUGUCUUUUAGCCACAAAAUUAAUUCUUAAUUAAUUAUUGACUAAUAUUAAUUAAACAAUAUGAUUUCUCCAUUAAUAUAUUAUUCUCAUAAUAUAUUAAUAAAUCAUAAUUAAUCCUCUCUCUCUCUCUCUCCAUAAUUCAUCCUAUCAAGUUGCCUUGGUGAAGGCAACCCAAAAGGACCAUGCACCAUCGGGUCAAGUACAUAUCAAAAUAGUUAUGGACUUAGACGCUAAUCCAACAGUUUUCGCAUGGGAUGUGUUCGGUCAGAGUUCAGUGGUAUUGCAAGAAUGGGAGUGGUAACGAGGAUUCGUCAGCUAGAGUAAAGAUUAAGGUCUUCAAUUGACAACAUGUUAGAUGGAUCGAGGUGUCAGACUGGAUCAAAUUUCAAGAGUAAUCAUCGAGAUUCCCGAGGAUGGGAGAUCUCAAUGUUUAAUCGGUGAUUAAACUCUAGCAUUGAUGGGGACAGGUGGUCAUCAGUGGGAUAUUAAAAAGUAAGAAGGAUUGGGAAUCCUUCAAUUCUCAUGUACCGUGAAGACUUAGUCAAAUCUAAGUGGGGGAGAGACUUUUUAUAAAGUUCUCCAACUAUGAGUUUUGGUUGCGAAAGGUGCAAUAUCUUGGGCACCUUGUUAACCAGAAGGGUCUUUUGGCGAUCCGGCCAAGUUAGAGGUCGCGAUGCAGUGGGAGAUUCUGAGACCUCCAACUGAGAUUCGGAGCUUCCCAGGUCUAGCUUGAUAUUACCAGAGAUUUAUACAGGAUUUCUCCGAGAUUAUGGUUCCUUUGACUCGACUGACCAAGAAGUCGGUGGCCUUUCAAUGGGGGCCUGAGCAACAAGCAACCUUCGAGACUCUCGGACAGCGGUUGUGCGAGGCAUCGAUUCUCACCCGGCCAGAGGGUGUAGAUGAUUUCGUGGGUUACUGGGAUGCUUUGAUCACGGGCAUGGGUGUGGUACUGAUACAGUGGGGUCACGUGAUAGCAGGUUUUGGGAACCAGGUUAGAGUUCUGGAUAGGACAUGAUUUUAGUUGUGUGUUAGGUCGAAUGCAUGUUCGACCGGUGCGGAAGGUGUUGUAAGACUACGGGGGUAGCCAUAACAUUCACUAGCAGUCAGAUAGUUUGGAAAGUGUCAUAAGAGUACGGGGGUAGUCGUAGCAUUCACUAGCAGUCAGAUAGUAUGGGAAGUGUUGUAAGACUAAGGGGGGUAGCCGUAGCAUUCACUAGCAGCAGAUAGUGCUUGAGUGAGGUAAGUCUGUGGGUGUAGCCGCAGCCUUCCCUUGGUUGGUAGAUAGCAUGAGCGCAUUGUUAGAACGUGGAAGGAAUAGUAGUACCCACCAGUUCGGGUGCAGCAGUGAGGAUAUGGAAAUCCACAGAUUGGAUUUCGGUGUUACCCAGAUGGAUUAGAUCUGUUUGAGCCAGUGAUAAGACUAUAGUAGCUCCACUAUAGUUAUGGGAUCAGGAAAGCUAUGGACUGUAUAAGGUUGCUUGUGAUAUAAGGCUACCAUCGGUUAGGUAGAAAUCACUUCUAGCCUUGGAUUUGAUGAUGACAAUAUUCGACGCAUGGACCCGAUCGGUUAGAUCAGUAGGAUGCUUGAGCCACAAUGGCAUAGUAACUAGUGGCAACUAGUUUCCGAGAAGGAUUUCGUUUAGGAUCCGUGUGAGACGACUAUGUGGGGAGCCCUUUUAGCUCGGUGACCAGGCUGGAAACCGGUAAAUUCAGAUGACUGAUGGAUGAAUUGAGACCGGGAAGGUCUCGAUAGAUUAUGGGAAGUAGCUAUGUAGUAGCAUACUGCUUCCGACAGUUCAAUGUUUGGGCAGUUUCAGCAUCUGGGCAGUAUUAGUACUUGUGUCUUAGGUUGCAAGUACAAAUGGAAUAGUUGGUUUAUUGGGGAGUGACAAUUCACUCACAGCAAGAGUAUCUGGGCCUUGGCCAGGUACAAGUGAUCUGCAGAGAUAAUGAGGUCUGUGAUCCUGUUUUUUGUGGGAACCUUGAGUUAUCAGGAACUGAGUAAUCGGAUGAAAGACAAAUGCGCAAGAUUCGACGAUGAUGAUUCAGUGAGAGUGGUCUGUCAGGGAUUCAUAUCAUCCCAAGACAACAAAUUUCAGACGGGGUAAAUGAGAUCUUGUUGCGAGGAAUUCGUUUACCUGUGGAUUUUAGGGCUUUACAGGGAUGGGUCAUGGCUACCAUGGGAAGACUAAGGCGUGCCGAGGCUGGUGACCAUGCAACUAGAGUGGUUGGGUGAGUAAGGAAUGGUAAGAAAUGAUUUCGAGGACAAAAUCUAAUUUAAGUGGGGGAGAGUUGUAACACCCUGUUUAUUUAUUAAUUCAAUAAACAAAUUAACGAACGAAUAGAAGCUCUAAAAUAAAUAAUUAUAUAGCAAAGGAUGGUCUCGAAGGGCUGAACAUGUCAUAACUGAGUAUUGGGGGUUAAAAAGAUAAAUUAUGGAUUGAUUUUGAAAAGAAUUUGUUGAGAAAGGGGUUGUUUAGUAAAAUUUGGACUUAAAUUGUAGAGGAACUGAAGGGGUCGGGUUUAAAUGGUAAUUUAUAGACUUGCUAUGAAAGGAUUUUAUGGUGGAGGGGCCGAAACUGUCCAUAUGGCAAUAUGCUUACAGGAUCAGAGUAUAUAAACUCAUUACCCACUCUCUAACCCUAACCCUAGUCGUAACUAUUCAGCCGCCACCCCCUUUUUCCCUCAACCUUCAACCUUCGCCACCAUGCCGCCGGUGGUCUCGCCAUUGAAGCGCCACCAUCAUCCUGUCGUUGGAGGUUACGUGAAGCAGGGAAAAACUCACCGAGACCGAUGACGUGACUAUAGGUAGACUCUGGAAGGUGGUGCUCUUGGGUCUCGUUGUUGCAUCGCUGCCUUGAGUCACCGGACAUUACCUUGCCGCCUCCGCUGCUAUCAGAAAUGAAGUGCAUUACACCCGAAAACGUGUUGAGCAAGGGUGUCAGGAGGAACCGAUGAGAUUUGGGAGGGUGCUGCCAAACCCUAGCCGCCACUGUUUCAUCCAUUGUCAGCAAAGAACAAGGCUGUCAGGUAAGGAUUGUCGUGGUCGUGGGGAGAAGCCGGUGGAAUCGGAGCGUGGAUGUUGUCGACGCAAAGCCUUUCCCUUCCUAGUUCAUUGCUACAAAGCCACCGUCCUCUUUCCUCUUCUUUCCGAUUAGCCACCACUACUGCUGUUUUUUUUUUGUACUUCUACCGUCCUCAACCGCCACCAAGAGGGUGGUUGGACCCGUUUUCAAGCAAGAAAAGAGUGUGGUGUUUGUUCUUUCUAUAGCAUGUGUUGUGUGUAGCUUAUUGGACGGAAAAAGGCAUCACGACCACCAUAGGGUGGUGGCUGCCGCCAUGCACCACCUCCGGCCACCUCAAGGUGGUUUAUGUGUAUACGUUUAGCUUAGUUAGUGUGUGUGUUGCUUUGGUAUUUUCAUUGUAAUUGUAACUCAAAAGCGAAAUAAUGGAAAGAAAUUGGAAACCACCACCCUAGGGUGGUGGCUGCUGCCUCCUGCCACCAAUGGCCGCUGUGUCGCGUGGUGGUGAGCUUCGAUGGUGUUUUGACUCGUUGGAUGUUUAGAAAAGUGGCUAAGAAACCCUAAUGGGCCCAAUGAGGCUUAACGGGCUUAAUGAACCCUAAUGGGCCCAAUGAGGCUUAAUGGACAUAAAAGUCCAAACAUGUGUCUAAUGGGCUUAAUGGACCCUAAUGGAUCCAAGGACUUAGCUAAUGGGCCAAUUGGGCUAAGAUGGGUUAGAAACCCAAAUUAGGGUUUGGAAAUCCCUAAUGCCAUGAAACCCUAAUUUGGGAUUUAUCGGGAUCGCGUCAGGAUUAAUUAAUGAACUUGGAAUAUUAAUUAAUAAUUAUUUGCAAUCAAACUAAGUCAACAUUGGACUUAAUGGAUUAAGUCCUUAAGGGGUUAAGUAGGAACAUUUAACCCUAAUCGUUAUUUUAUGUGAAACCCUAAUUUCACUUGGGUUCAUUAUUGGGCCUUUCAAUUGGGCUUGAUGAUUGGGUUAUUAAAUGGGCCAUCCAAUAUCAAUCAAAUGGACUAGAAUAAUUAAUGGGCUUUGGGGUAAGGCCCAUGUAAGGGGUGUAAAGACGUAAAUUUUCAAAACAAUUUUUCAUUUUCCAACAACCAAAUUUAUAUUUAAACAUUCUCAAAACAUAUGUUCCACAGUUGUCACACCCCGAAAACCAAAGGCGGAAACAUUUCCGGGGUUGACUCCACGUUGAGUAUCAAAUCCAUUGCACAUAGUAAAGCAGUAAUAACAAAACAUUACAUUACAUAAUAUUGUUUACAUCUGUUUGAAAGAAAAGUUGUACAAGUGUUUUACAUAUGUAAUAUAAACAAAAGUAAAGACGAGUCUUCGGGACGCUUCGUCUUCUCCAAAAGGUGGCGGUGUACCUGUCUAUCACUGACCUGAGAAUACAAGCAGUUUGAAAAUCAGCAUAAAGCUGGUGAGUUCAUAAGCGGUUUAGUUUUGAAAAGAACGAGUUCCUUUACUUUCUGGAAAAGUUGUUGAUUAAGAAAAUCCCAUAUUUUCUUAUGAAAACGAUUUGGUUAUCCUUUGAUACAAUUUUGAAAACGGUUGGUUAUAUCGUUCUAGGAAAAUCCCAUAUUUUCCUUAUAGUUUUAGUUAUUCGUUUGUUACUUUAUCCGUUUAUGUGCUGUUGUGCUACCCAGGAAAAUCCCAUGUUUUCCUAUGUGUUGAGUUGUCUAUUUGUAUCUAGGUUCGUUACGGGUUGUUAUGUUAUCCCAGGAAAAUCCCAUAUUUUCCUAUGUGUGGUGUUUGGUUCUUAAGUCUGAUUUCGAAGUACUAGUAAUUACGAUGUGAGUAGUAUUAGUUAUGUGUUCUAAACCCUUAGUUAUUCUACAUUCGUAUGACUAUAAUCUACUAACUUAGUUGUAUUUUCGAAUAUUUGGAAUCACACAGAAGCGUACAUUAUAGUAUUUUCGAAGUUCUGCUGAGUUCCAAAAGAGUAUAUUAGUUGUGUAUUCGAAGCUCUGUCGACAUUCUGAGGCGGAUAUAUUUGAAACUCAGUAGAGGUCCAGAGGCGUAUUUUCGUAUUAGAUUCGAAACUCUGGUGACACUCAAGGAGUACACUAACUGUAUAUUCGAAAUCUUAGUGUCAACCAAAGGCGUCAUUUCGCAUUUGUAGUCGUAUUCGCAUUUGUAGUCGUAUUCGUAUUCGUAUUCGUAUUUGUAUUCGUAUUCGUAAUUUGUAUUCGUAUUCGUAAUUCGUAUUCGUAUUCGUAUUCGUAUUCGUAUUCAUAUUCGUAUUCGUAUUCGUUUUCGUAUUCGUAUUUGUAUUCAUAUUAGUAAUUCGUAUUCGUAUUCGUAUUCGUAUUCGUAUUCGUACUAUAUUACAUUCAUAUUGAUCUUAAAUAUGAUUAGUAUGAUUUCUCAUUCAAAGAGAAUAUAGUUAUAACACUCUUAAAAGAAAUCUAUGUUUAACCUGCAAUUCGAAAUGUCAGUUAUCACAAAUCUUUGGAAAUCAAAACAUUUAGUAAGUAAAAUCAUUUAGUUGAAAAUCAGUUUAAGUACAAAAUACACUUGUACUUUUGCUUGUAUUCCCUCCUGAAAACAUUGAAAAAACAUUGAAAACACGGAAAAAGGGUAGGGGUAUGAACUCACCGGACGCAGAAAUGUGUCGGUUACGGAUGCUAAACGUCGAAUCGAGGCUAGAUAACACGCGAGGUUCCUAUGUAAUAUGAAAUGGCAUACAAAUAUAUCUAAUUAAAUUCAUAAACUCUAAUUAGAUAUGAAGUCACACUCCAACGAACGAAAACACCUCAAAACGGGUGUUUAGAUUGACCUGGGUGACAUCUACGGACGGGAAUUGAAGUGAGGGACUUGGGAUUUGAGUUUACUCCCCAAGAGUAAACUUCCUAAUGAGUUUACGGCCUAAACACUACCCACACAUGAGUUCACGGCCGUGAACUCAUGUUGGCAAGGAUUAUGGAGCUUAAUGGGUCACAAAUGGCUAUUAUCACUUGGAAAUGCUUGGAAUAAUUUUACCUAAGGCUUGGAAUGAAUUAAAAUCACCAAAUACAACACUUAAGGGAGUUUACGGCCUUGGCAUGGGGCCUAUGGCCGUAAACUCUCAUAUUCCCUUGAAUAUUUGUUUUUAAGGUCCCAAAGUUAAUCACAUGUGAUUCUAAAAAUUCCUACAAGCCUUAAAAUGAUUUUUGGGCACAAUAUGACAUGUUUUUAGGAGUUUACGGCCAUGGAGCACCUUCUAUGGCCGUAAACUCUCAAAUGAAGAGUUUUGAUGUGUUUAAGGUCCUUAAACUAUUUUUGGUUGGUUCUAUGAUUUAUUCCAAGGCUUUUGGUGGUGUUGGAUGGCUUUCUAACACCUUAGAAGUGAGUUUACACCCAUGAUUGAGGAGUUUACGGCCCAAGCACAUGCCUUGGCCGUAAACUCAUACAAACCCCUCAAAAUUCAUGUUUGAGGUGUUCUAGGUCCAUAAGCAAUAUUCUAAAAGUCGUAUCUAAGUCUUGUUUGAUCCAUGGAAGGGUUUAAGGGCUUAAAAACCCUUUAAAUAUGGGUUUACGGCCUAAGCACCAUCCUGGGCCGUAAACUCAUAUAUAAGGCUCUAAAUCAUGUUUCAAGGCAUUCUAAGCUCAUUCCAUAAAGUCAUCUAGCCAUAUCUAAGGUCUAAUUGUGGUUUGGAAGGGUUUUGUUGCUCCAAAAACCCCAUUUGUAUGAGUUUACGGCCUAGGACUGUUCUAGGGCCGUAAAAUCAUGGUAAUGGUCCUAAUCCAUGAUUUAAACUCGAAUUUGAAGGCUCAAUAUGAUGCAAAAUAAGUAUAGGAAGGUACCUAGAAGAUUUGAGACCUUAAACUUGAGAUUUGGACCUUUAAUUCUAGUUUGAGGAGAGAGGUUGGAGUGAAAGUUGUAGAAUGGAGCAAAAGCUACAAAAUGAAGACGUGGAUCACUUUAAAUAGUGUCCAAGUUCUGGAAACGGUAGAAUUCUACCCGAUACCGACGUUAGACGGGGCUUUUGGUCGCACCCGGCCAAUUUGCCGUAACCCGAUAUGGUUGAUUCUAGAAAUGUUCUGAUCAUUAAUAUGAGACGUUAGAAUGAGUUCUAAGGGUAUUAAGACACUUAUUAAGUCAUAAAAUAAAAUAUACAUUAAUGACUUAAUAAAAUGUCGGAAUCGGAAACGAAAUCGGAAACGGCGAUUAGAUGAUCAGAACGAGUCGCGAGUAGGGUUACAUUUAGGGAUAUGAAUUUCGGGUUGUUACAACAGUAGUUAUCAAAAUAAUACAUAUCCCAAGAUCACAAAUACAAUCUCUUGACUGUGUGUACGGAUCACACCGGCGCCUUUCCACGGUCCUCGCUAGUACCUGAAACAAAUAACACAACAACUGUAAGCAUAAAUGCUUAGUGAGUUCCCCAAAAUACCACUUACACACAUACGCCUUUCCAGGCCAUAGUCUACACGACCUUCAGGUCCAUGUGUCUCAGGGGACUUCUAUCCCAGUCCCAGUAGACCUUCCGGUCCUACUCAUAUCGACCUUCCGGUCCAUGAAUCCCUAACCUUCCGGUUCACGUCAUAAUGCCUUCCGACCCAUAUCAUACAUAUCAUACAUAUCACAUAUAGAACAUACAACGCAUAGCAUACAAUACAUGCAUCUCAUAGCAUACAAGACCUUUCGGUCACACAUAGGUACCUUUCCAGGUAUAGUGUUGUGAGAAGACUCACCUCGGGUAACUCGGUAACUCGAAAAUCUCGGACUCUAUGAGAUAGGAUCUAGCCUCCGCCUAAUCAUAACAAACACUUCUCAUUAAUACAUUUCCCCAAGGCUAGACUCUUUACUUUCCUAUCAUUCUCAGAAGGGUAAAAGACCAUUUUACCCCUCUCAUGGCUCAAAUACCCUAAAGUUUACCAAACCCUAAAAGUCAACAAAAGUCAACCCUUCGGGUUACGCUGCACUUACCAAACAUGUACGCUGGGUGUACCCGGUGCCUUCACAGAAUCGGGGUGCACGACCCCUUAUGCUGCGCGUACUGGGAUUAUGCCCAGCGUAAGUCCCAAUUCAGCUAAUUUAUGGAUUUUCGUCUUAAUCGGUUAAGACAUGAACUCAUAUUCCAGAUCUGACUUCUCUAGGGUUACUUACUCCAUAAAGUUGAAACCUUUAAGCCAUUACAUGGCUGUAAAGGUCACCCAUCACCCAAAACACCUUUCCUCUUCCCAUGUUAAGUCCAUAACUCAUGCAUGACUCAAUAUCCACGACAAAGAUUGGAUUUUUAUGAAACCUCAUCACAUAAUACACUGGGAAAGGCCAGAUCUAAGCUUAUGGAGACCCUUUGCACAAAAAGUCUCCACCUUUGAACCAAGAACCCUAAAAAUGGGUCUACAAAGCAAAACUCAUGAAAUGCAAAGAAAGCUUUGAGCUUUUUACCUCAAAAUGGAGCUCCAACCUCUAUAGAACUCAGAUCUAGUCUUGCUCUCCAACUUCUAGCUCCAACAAUGGCUUCCUCUUCUCCUUCUUCACCUUAAAAAGGCACCUUCAAGCUUAAGAACACCCAUACAAGCUCAAAACGGGUUUUCUGCUCCCUUAGGGUUCACUCACUGAGGUAUGGUGGCUGGGUUAAAGGACUUAACGUUCCUUUUAUAGUGCACAAGCCAAUAUUUAGGGUUUUCAUCUGGACACAUUAUGCCCAGCGUAACCCUGGGCACGCCCAGCGUACCCAGGCGAGUCCGCAUCCAAAAUAAGCGCGCGAGUACGCGCAGUGUAUGCCUAUUACGCCCAGCGUACUCAUAAGUCCAAUAUUCAACUUAAGGGACUUAUCUUGACAACUUGCAGAAAUAGAAGGGUUAUAACGCCUACCUGAGUUUCGGGAUGUUACAAUUCUCCCCCACUAGAACCAGACUUCACCCUUGAAGUCUCAUGCUGCAAACAACUCCGGAUGUUGCUCCCGCAUCUCAGACUCCGGCUCCCAAGUCAGCUCGGACCCUCUCCGAUGUUGCCACUGGACCUGCACCAAGGGCACUUCUUUGUUCCUCAGAACCUUGGUCUAUCGAUCUAUAAUCGCAACGGGCCUCUCCACGUAGUUCAAGCUCGCAUCCACAUGAAUAUCCUCCAGCGGUACCACUGCCGACUCAUCGGCUAUACACUUCCUCAAAUGCGACACGUGGAAGGUAUCAUGAAUCUGCCCCAACACCGCGGUCAGCUCCAACCGAUAUGCUACCCUGCCUAGCCUCGCGACUACCCUGAACGGACCAAUAUACCGGGGACCCAACUUGCCCCUCUUCCUGAAUCGGAUCACUCCUUUUCAAGGAGAUACCUUCAGGAGCACAAAAUCUCCGACCUGGAACUCGAGCUCAAAUCGUCGCAUAUCCGCAUAACUCUUCUGGCGACUCUGAGCAGUCAACAACCUCUAUCUCACCUGAUGCAUCUGCUCUGUUGUCUGAAGCACUAUCUCUGUACUACCCAUCACACAUUGCCCUACCUCACCCCAACAAAUGGGGGUCCAACACUUCCUCCCAUACAAUAGCUCAAAGGGUGGCAUACCAAUGCUCGAAUGAUGGCUGUUGUUAUAAGAAAACUCAGCCCGGGGUAAAUACGUGUACCAACUGUUGGAUAUAGUGUCUAAGUCCAUAACUAUAUUUGGUAUGUACUUGACCCGACCCGGCAUGGUCCAUUUGGGUUGCACUUCACCCGAACAAUUUAUGGAUAAUCUGUUGAGAAUAGUACAAGUUAUGAUUAAUUAAUAUAUUAUAAGUUCUAAUAUAUUAAUAUAAGAUCAUAUUAUUUAAUUAGUAUUGAUCUAUAAUUAAUCUAGGAUUAAUUUAGAGAUCAAAGAUAUUACUAAUUAAAUAUGGGCUUCUAUAUUUAUAUAGUGUGGGCUAAGGCUUAUUUGGAAUGGGCUAGGCUUGCAUGGAAAAGUCCAUGGAUACUCCAUGGAGCUUUAACCCAUGGAUCUCAUGGAAAUGAAGAGACAUGGGUAUUAGGGUUUACAUGGAUGUAACCCUAAUCCACCACACUAUAUAAAGGAGGCUUUGGUUCUUGAAAUCACACUAGUUGNNNNNNNNNNNNNNNNNNNNNNNNNNNNNNNNNNNNNNNNNNNNNNNNNNNNNNNNNNNNNNNNNNNNNNNNNNNNNNNNNNNNNNNNNNNNNNNNNNNNNNNNNNNNNNNNNNNNNNNNNNNNNNNNNNNNNNNNNNNNNNNNNNNNNNNNNNNNNNNNNNNNNNNNNNNNNNNNNNNNNNNNNNNNNNNNNNNNNNNNNNNNNNNNNNNNNNNNNNNNNNNNNNNNNNNNNNNNNNNNNNNNNNNNNNNNNNNNNNNNNNNNNNNNNNNNNNNNNNNNNNNNNNNNNNNNNNNNNNNNNNNNNNNNNNNNNNNNNNNNNNNNNNNNNNNNNNNNNNNNNNNNNNNNNNNNNNNNNNNNNNNNNNNNNNNNNNNNNNNNCAAUCAACUACAACUACAAGGUAAGUAUUUCUACUAUCUUUAUUUGAUUCAUGUUCCCCAUGCCAUGCUAGUUAGAAUAUGAACCUUGGAAAAAAUAAUUAUUUGCAUGUAUCUUAGACAAACAUAGAUCCAAGGUUUAUUAGGGUUGCAUGUACACUAGGAAGUGUUAGAAUGCUCAAAACCCAUCAGUGGUAUCAUAGCCUAGGCUUGUUUGUUUGAUACUUGAUGCAAAAUAGUUGAAAAAGUCGAAAAACUUGAUGUCUGCCUGAUGAACUCGCCAAGUCCAUGGGGGGACUUGCUGAGUUUAUGUGUAUCUUCAACCUACUCGCCGAGUAGGUUCAUGCANNNNNNNNNNNNNNNNNNNNNNNNNNNNNNNNNNNNNNNNNNNNNNNNNNNNNNNNNNNNNNNNNNNNNNNNNNNNNNNNNNNNNNNNNNNNNNNNNNNNAUAGCAAGAAAGUGAGAGCUCUUCGUCAACCUGUCCACAAUCACCGAAAUUGCAUCGACACCCCUAGUAGUUCUCGGCAAUUUGGUGAUAAAAUCCAUGGUAAUCUAUUCCCACUUCCACUCGAGAAUCUCCAAUGGCUGCAACGUACCAUGCGGAUGCUGGUGCUCGGCCUUAACCUUGCGACAAAUCAAGCACCUCUCUAAGAACCAUGUGACAUUCCUCUUCAUACAGGGCCACCAAUACUCUCUUUUCAGAUCCAAAUACAUCUUGGUGGCCCCGGGGUGGAUCGAGAACCUCGAUCUAUGCGCCUCCUCCAUCAUGAUGGUACGCGUUCCGCCCACAAACGGUACCCAAACCAGACCCUGAAAGGUCAUAAGUCCUCGACUAUCGGUAACGAACUCUGAUACCUGCCCGAUCACCCGCUCCCUUUUGUGGUUCUCUGGUCUCACGGCCUCGGACUGGGCCCCUCGAAUGGUGUGCAACACCGGAGUCAUCACUGUCAAUCUCAUGCAAACAUCACAUAGUAGGGCGCUCUCCGUCCUACGGCUCAGGGCAUCUGCUACAACAUUAGCCUUGCCCGGGUGGUACAGGAUCUCGCACUCAUAAUCCUUUACCACAUCCAACCAUCUCCUCUGGCGCAUAUUCAGGUUGGGAUGAUCCAUCAAGUACUUCAAUCUCUUGUGGUCCAUGUAUAUGGUACACCGAACCCCAUACAGAUAGUGACGCCAGAUCUUGAGGGCGAACACCACUGCCCCUAACUCCAGAUCGUGGGUGGGAUACCUCAUCUCAUGAGGCUUCAACUUCCUUGGUGCAUAUGCUAUCAAAUGCCCCCUUUGCAUCAAUACUGCACCCAUCCCCGAUAUCGAUGCAUCACAAUACACCACAAAAUCCUCCAUCCCUUCCGGGAGUGCUAGCACCGGGNGCACAAUCUCUGGCGAAGUGUCUCAAACGAGGUCUGCUGCUCCGGACCCCAUGAAAAAGUAACACCCUUCCGGGUCAACCUGGUGAGUGGCACGACGAUCUUGGAGAAAUCCCUGAUAAAUCUCUGAUAAUAGCCAGCCAAUCCUAGAAAGCUCCUGAUAUCGGUGGGCGAUCUCGGCACCUCCCACCUCAUGACCGCCUCAAUCUUGCCCGGAUCGACCAAAAUCCCCUUCUAGUUGACGAGAUGCCCCAAGAACUGGACCUCUCGUAACCAGAACUCNNNNNNNNNNNNNNNNNNNNNNNNNNNNNNNNNNNNNNNNNNNNNNNNNNNNNNNNNNNNNNNNNNNNNNNNNNNNNNNNNNNNNNNNNNNNNNNNNNNNCCAAAAUGCAAUUUAGCAAUACUUGAGAUUUUGGGCUGUUACAUCAGAGUCGCCAGAAGAGUUAUGCGGAUAUGCGACAAUCUGAGCUCGAGUUCCAGGUCGGAGAUUUUGUGCUCCUGAAGGUAUCUCCUUGAAAAGGAGUGAUCCGAUUCAGGAAGAGGGGCAAGUUGGGUCCCCGGUAUAUUGGUCCGUUCAGGGUAGUCGCGAGGCUAGGCAGGGUAGCAUAUCGGUUGGAGCUGACCGCGGUGUUGGGGCAGAUUCAUGAUACCUUCCACGUGUCGCAUUUGAGGAAGUGUAUAGCCGAUGAGUCGGCAGUGGUACCGCUGGAGGAUAUUCAUGUGGAUGCGAGCUUGAACUACGUGGAGAGGCCCGUUGCGAUUAUAGAUCGAUAGACCAAGGUUCUGAGGAACAAAGAAGUGCCCUUGGUGCAGGUCCAGUGGCAACAUCGGAGAGGGUCCGAGCUGACUUGGGAGCCGGAGUCUGAGAUGCGGGAGCAGCAUCCAGAGUUGUUUGCAGCAUGAGACUUCAAGGGUGAAGUCUGGUUCUAGUGGGGGAGAAUUGUAACAUCCCGAAACUCAGGUAGGCGUUAUAACCCUUCUAUUUCUGCAAGUUGUCAAGAUAAGUACCUUAAGUUGAAUAUUGGACUUAUGAGUACGCUGGGCGUAAUGAGGCAUACACCGCGCGUACUCGCGCGCUUAUUUUGGACGCGGACUCGCCUAGGUACGCUGGGCGUGCCCAGGGUUACGUUGGGCAUAAUGUGUCCAGAUGAAAACCCUAAAUAUUGGCUUGUGCACUAUAAAAGGAACGUUAGGUCCUUUAACCCAGCCACCAUACCUCAGUGAGUGAACCCUAAGGGAGCAGAAAACCCGUUUUGAGCUUGUAUGGGUGUUCUUAAGCUUGAAGGUGCCUUUUUAAGGUGAAGAAGGAGAAGAGGAAGCCAUUGUUGGAGCUAGAAGUUGGAGAGCAAGACUAGAUCUGAGUUCUAUAGAGGUUGGAGCUCCAUUUUGAGGUAAAAAGCUCAAAGCUUUCUUUGCAUUUCAUGAGUUUUGCUUUGUAGACCCAUUUUUAGGGUUCUUGGUUCAAAGGUGGAGACUUUUUGUGCAAAGGGUCUCCAUAAGCUUAGAUCUGGCCUUUCCCAGUGUAUUAUGUGAUGAGGUUUCAUAAAAGUCCAAUCUUUGUCGUGGAUAUUGAGUCAUGUAUGAGUUAUGGACUUAACAUGGGAAGAGGAAAGGUGUUUUGGGUGAUGGGUGACCUUUACAGCCAUGUAAUGGCUUAAAGGUUUCAACUUUAUGGAGUAAGUAACCCUAGAGAAGUCAGAUCUGGAAUAUGAGUUCAUGUCUUAACCGAUUAAGACGAAAAUCCAUAAAUUAGCUGAACUGGAACUUACGAUGGGCAUAAUCCCAGUACGCGCAACAUAAGGGGUCGCGCACCCCAAUUCUGUGAAGGCACCAGGUACGCCCACCAUACAUGUUUGGUACGCGCAGCGUAACCCGGAGGGUUGACUUUUGUUAACUUUUAGGGUUUGGUCAACUUUAGGGUAUUUGAGCCAUGAGAGGGGUAAAAUGGUCUUUUACCCUUCUGAGAAUGAUAGGAAAGGAAAGAGUCUAGCCUUGGGGAAAUGUAUUAAUGAGAAGUGUUUGUUAUGAUUAGGCGGAGGCUAGAUCCUAUCUCAUAGAGUCCGAGAUUUCCGAGUUACCGAGUUACCCAAGGUGAGUCUUCUCACAACACUGUACCCGGAAAGGUACCUAUGUGUGACCGGAAGUUCUUGUAUGCUAUGAGAUGCAUGUAUUGUAUGCUAUGCGUUGCAUGUUCUGUAUGCGUUAUGUAUGUGAUAUGUAUGCUAUGUAUGAUAUGAGUAGGACCGGAAGGUCUACUGGGACUAGGACGGAAGUCCCUUGAGACACAUGGACCUGAAGGUCAUGUAGAGUAUGGCCUGUAAAGGUGUAUGUGUGUAAGUGGUAUUUUGGGGAAAUCACUAAGCAUUUAUGCUUACAGUUGUUGUGUUAUGUGUUUAAAGUACUAGCGAGGACCGUGGAAAGGCGCCAGCAUGAUCCGUACACACAGUCAGGAGAUUUUAUUUGUGAUCUUGGGAUAUGUAUUAUUUUGAUAACUACUGUGGAACAUAUGUUUUGAGAAUGUUUAAAUAUAAAUUUGGUUGUUGAAAAAUGAGAAAUUGUUUUGAAAAUUUACGUCAUUACAAGUUGGUAUCAGAGCCUUGGUUUGAGGGACUCGGAUGCACCUUCGGGCGUAUCUGAACUCAAACUGAGGAUUUGAGAAAAAAUUUAAACAAUAAAACUAAUUUUUCUAAAAGAGCAAGAGGUUUUGAGACAACCAGAGCGGAGCAGUGUGUACGGUCAGCCAGCGCCCGAACGGUGAUUCCCCAAAGUACCCUUACGUUAUGUGUUAUGAGAUAUGAUAUGUUAUGUUGUGCAUGCUAGAGUUGGUUAGGUAUUCAUAUUAGGAAUAGAGUGGCCUGAUUUUGUGAUGCCUUAGCCUAGGAAGGGUUGUGCUGCUAUGUGAUGCUUGAGAGCGAGUAGGUAGUAGUGACGGGCUGAUAAGAGGUCUACCGAAGGGUAGCCUAUGCCACUGAGAUAUAGAGUACUUGUGAUCUCGGAUCUAAGGAAGAGGACUUAGGGUGAAUACUUAUGCGAUGUAGAUGAUAGUAUAAGGGCCCGUACUACCGAAGAC
rnacentral:lncRNA from 1 species